UACGAAGGGGGCUAGCGUUGCUCGGAAUUACUGGGCGUAAAGGGCGCGUAGGCGGAUACUUAAGUCGGGUGUGAAAUCCUGGAGCUCAACUCCAGAACUGCCUUUGAUACUGAGGAUCUUGAGUUCGGGAGAGGUGAGUGGAACUGCGAGUGUAGAGGUGAAAUUCGUAGAUAUUCGCAAGAACACCAGUGGCGAAGGCGGCUCACUGGCCCGAUACUGACGCUGAGGCACGAAAGCGUGGGGAGCAAACAGG
rnacentral:rRNA from 1 species